rnacentral:rRNA from 1 species
AGGACGGCGCUCCUAUUUUGUUGGUUUCUAGGAGAGCCGUAAUGAUUAAUAGGGACAGUUGGGGGCAUCCGUAUUCAGUUGUCAGAGGUGAAAUUCUUGGAUUUACUGAAGACGAACUACUGCGAAAGCAUUUGCCAAAGAUGUUUUCAUUAAUCAGUGAACGAAAGUUAGGGGAUCGAAGACGAUCAGAUACCGUCGUAGUCUUAACCAUAAACUAUGCCGACUAGGGAUCGGGCGAUGUUAUUGUAUUGACUCGCUCGGCACCUUUCGAGAAAUCAAAGUGUUUGGGUUCUGGGGGGAGUAUGGUCGCAAGGCUGAAACUUAAAGAAAUUGACGGAAGGGCACCACCAGGAGUGGAGCCUGCGGCUUAAUUUGACUCAACACGGGGAAACUCACCAGGUCCAGAUACACGUAGGAUUGACAGAUUGAGAGCUCUUUCUUGAUUGUGUAGUUGGUGGUGCAUGGCCGUUCUUAGUUGGUGGAGUGAUUUGUCUGCUUAAUUGCGAUAACGAACGAGACCUUCAUCGUUAACUAGCCCGGCUCGCCUUGGCGGGUCGCCGGCUUCUUAGCGAGACUUUUGGCUUAAGCCAAAGGAAGUUGGAGGCAAUAACAGGUCUGUGAUGCCCUUAGAUGUUCUGGGCUGCACGCGCGCUACACUGACAGAGGCAACGAGUUUCGUUCCUUGGCCGGAAGGCCUGGGUAAUCUUGUAAUUGGCAC